AAUAAAUUUAACAUAAGUGUACAUAUUAAUCAACUCGUAAACACAGUUUGAGAAGCGACAGAAAGAACCAAGGGCUUAUCUAGUCCUGUCCCUUCCUUACUUUCAGUGUCAGAUUCAUAACUAAAUAUAUUUCCUUCAUCGGCUAUUUAUCGCAUUAAAUUAGAGAACAAUGAAUAACUAGUCAGAGCAACUUAAUAUUGGUUGUAUCACCAUUCUGCCAGAAAUAAACAUAAACAAAUAGAGACUAAACUAUACAGGGUAUAAUAUGUAAGCCCCAAACUACAUAUAAACCCAUCAACAAUAUCUCCCAUUACACAUACCAAAAUAUGAAAGUGGUCUGAUUACUCAGUGCAUUUGUAUGAGUCGAUUCACAUUUACAAGAGUUUCUGUUGAGUAUGA